UUACGACCAUAUCACGUUGAAACACCACUUCUCGUAUGAUCACCAAAGUUAAGCAACGUCGAUCCUGGUCACUACCUAGAUGGGUCACCGCUUGAGAAUAUCAGGUGCU